rnacentral:rRNA from 1 species
GUUCCCAUUCCGAACACGGCAGUUAAGCUCUUUUACGUCUAAAAUAUUUGGUUGGUGACGACCUGAGAAUUCGGAUAGGUGCCGACA